AGCAGUCGCCGCGGGAAUACCAGCACCUCGAGUGGUCAGGAGGUUUACUGGGCCUAAAGCAUCCGUAGCCGGUUGUUUAAGUUUUCGGUUAAAUCUAUGCGCUUAACGUAUAGGCUGCCGAAAAUACUGGACAGCUAUGGAGUGGGAGAGGUACACGGUACUCAAUAGGAAGGGGUAAAAUCCUUUGAUCUGUUGAUGACCACCUGUGGCGAAGGCGGUGUACCAGAACACGUUCGACGGUGAGGGAUGAAAGCUGGGGGAGCAAACCGGAUUAGAUACCCCCGUAGUCCCUGUCUCUUAUAA
rnacentral:rRNA from 1 species